rnacentral:rRNA from 1 species
GCGUCGAGCGGCGGACGGGUGAGUAAUACUUAGGAAUCUACCUAGUAGUGGGGGAUAGCACGGGGAAACUCGUAUUAAUACCGCAUACGACCUACGGGAGAAAGGGGGCAGUUUACUGCUCUCGCUAUUAGAUGAGCCUAAGUCGGAUUAGCUAGAUGGUGGGGUAAAGGCCUACCAUGGCGACGAUCUGUAGCUGGUCUGAGAGGAUGAUCAGCCACACCGGGACUGAGACACGGCCCGGACUCCUACGGGAGGCAGCAGUGGGGAAUAUUGGACAAUGGGGGAAACCCUGAUCCAGCCAUGCCGCGUGUGUGAAGAAGGCCUUUUGGUUGUAAAGCACUUUAAGCAGUGAAGAAGACUCCGUGGUUAAUACCCACGGACGAUGACAUUAGCUGCAGAAUAAGCACCGGCUAACUCUGUGCCAGCAGCCGCGGUAAUACAGAGGGUGCAAGCGUUAAUCGGAAUUACUGGGCGUAAAGCGAGCGUAGGUGGCUUGAUAAGUCAGAUGUGAAAUCCCCGGGCUUAACCUGGGAACUGCAUCUGAAACUGUUAGGCUAGAGUAGGUGAGAGGGAAGUAGAAUUUCAGGUGUAGCGGUGAAAUGCGUAGAGAUCUGAAGGAAUACCGAUGGCGAAGGCAGCUUCCUGGCAUCAUACUGACACUGAGGCUCGAAAGCGUGGGUAGCAAACAGGAUUAGAUACC